rnacentral:lncRNA from 1 species
GGAAGUUGGUCUAUUUACUCAGUUUGAAAAUGAAUAGGAUGAAGAAAACUUGAAGAUAUAGCUUUAAGAUUAUUUGCAAGUAGAAAAAAUAGAAGGGCAAGAUAAACAACUGGAUGUAUAGUUUACCCUGGUGAGCUUAAUGCUAAAAGCCACAUAAGCAUAUAUUCAUAGGUGAUCUUUAACACUAUGUUACCAUAAUAGGCACAAUACCUUUUUCCCGAUCUCAAGUGAACCUAUUUCGUUUUCCCAGAGUACUGUUUUUGCACCAUUGAUUGUUGCCAUCUUGAGGAUUGUUUCAGCAGGGAGAGCAG